GUCCAUUCUUGCAUUGCUAUAAAGAACUACCUGAGACUGGGUAAUUUAUAAAGAAAAGAGGUUUAAUUGACUCACAGUUCUCCAGGCUGAACAGAAAGCAUGACUGAGGAAGCCUCAGUAAACUUACAAUUAUGGCAGAAGGUGAAGAGAAAGCAGACACCUCUUAACAUGCUGGAGAAGGAGGAAGAGAGAGAGAAGGGGGAAGUCCUACACUCUUUUAUAAACAACCAGAUCUCAUGAGAAUUCACUCACUAUUACAAGAACAGAAAGGUUCUUGGUUCAUGGUUCAAUCAGCUCCUACCAGGCUCCUCCUCCAACAUUGGGGAUUACAAUUCAACAUGAAAUUUCAGCAGAGACACUGACUCAAAUCAUAUCAGGGAUAGGAAAUACGACCUGUCUCACUUUGAUCCAUAUUGAAGGCUUCGGAUUUCCUUCAUUCUCCAAGUGAUGCAAAACCAAGGCUGUACAAGCAUGGUGAUGGCAUCUGUCCAGCAUCUGGGGAGCCUGCAGGGAGCUUUUACUCAGGACAGAAGGUGAAGCAGGAGCAGGUAUGUCACAUGGCAGGAAAAUCUGCUUCUGAAUUACCCUUGGCUAUUUAAAGAAUGGAUGCUCACCAUAUGCUUACACUGGACCUCUGUAUAUCUUUCCCUUAUGGAUAAUCUAGAAAAAUUAGGAAAAGAUCUAAGUUAAAGCAUUGGAGCAGCCAAAGUCUACAAUCCAGAAAUCUGAAGUUAGAUUCCCAGAGGUAGGUUUAUCACAUGAGGGUCACAGAAAACUGUUGAGUGCUAAAAUGGUAGCUAUAUGACGGAGUGAAAUAGUGCAAAUAAUCCUAUCAAAUGUGGAAAGAAGAAAGGCUAGAAGGAGACAAUGUAGAGGGCUUGAAUCAAUAUUAAUACCUGGGAAUGACAGCAGCAGACGAGCUAUUUAGUGUGAAACGAUUAAGGUUGACAUGGCUCAGUUUGAACAAUGUGUUGCACUGGUCAUAAAGCUAAGAGACAGAUCUGCAAACAAUGACAAGCCCUGUGUACAGUAACCACCAUCAUUAUUGACUGAGUGAUCAGAAGGUUUAAUUGGUGACUGAGGAAUCACUAAUUGGGCAUUAAUCUCUCAAUCAGUCAUGUUUGCUUAUAGAAAUGACUCUUUGGUAAGUUUCAUUUUCUUUCUUUUCUCACACAGCCAGGGAAGCUUUGACUUGUACAUUAGAAGACAAGUUUACUUUAGUAGUUGAUCUGGCUUUCGAAAGGACAAAGCCACUGAUUCCACAAUUAGAAAGGAGUAAAAUGUCAAGAACCCUGGUAAAGUAAUACCUUUCUUUAAACGGACAGUGAGAAAUGAACAAGUGAGACUGAACCCUUUACUGAGAGCAAAUUUAAUUGGCAGGGGUCAGGGAAUUUCACAAUGAUAUAGAGUUCCUGAAGGAUGCAAAAAAAAAAAAAAAGUAUUCUGAAGAGGAGGAAAAAACUGCCUAAAGUAGGUCUGGUGAUGUCAAUGUCAAUCUUCUCCUUCACAAUCUUGCCUGGGGCUGGUUCUGCCAGGACUAAAGAGACAAUGACAUCUGUACGGUAUAUUCAUAGUACUGUAGCAUUUUAUUGUACACCUUGGUAAAAAUAAAGAAAUUUUUGGCUUCUUUCUUAAGAAAAAGAUGAGGGAGAAACUAAAUUAUGUGUUUGUUGUUCUAAAAUGCAUAUUGCUCUACAUUCAGUAAAUGCAAAAUAAGUGCUCAUUAAGUGAAAUCUAUACUAAAAUUUUUAAACAAUUCUCAAAAGUGGAAAAAUUAAUUUGCUUACAGACCCAGUAGUUGAAGUUCCAAUAGUUCUUAAAUAGCCUAAAAUAGUUUUGCUCUUAAUAACAGAGCUCUGGGUUUACGAAAUAUGUUUAUUUGCUAGGGAAAAGUUUUCAAUACCUAUGUUUCAGGAAGGGUGUAUUGGUUUUAUAUGUAUCUUUACAUUUUUCUCUUUAGGAUAUAUUUCCAAAACACGAUUUAUAUUGUGAACUGCAUCAUGUAUGAACUGUUUCUAGACUACUUGAAAAUGUACCAAAAUAAAACAUUCUAAUCUGUACAAAAUCAAUGUCUUGAAACUGAAUCCAUUUCUAAAAUAUUACACACGUGACUGGUAAACAUGAUUAUGAAUAUCAUCAUAUUUUCCAGGUUAAUCUGAAUUAGCUGCAAAGAUAAUAAUAGAUUCAACCUUGGAAAACUAUGCAGAUUCCAGUUUAAAGUGCUGUGCUACUUAACAAAGAUGUACAGUUCUUUAUAUACCAUCUAUGCUAAAAAUCGCAGGUAUUGAAAACUUUUUCCCAUCAAGUAAUAUACAUUCUAAAAUGCAUAUUGCUGUAUGUUCAGUAAGUGCAAAAUAAACUCUCAUUAGCUGAAAUCUAUUCCAGUUUUUUAAACUAAUUCUUAAAUGUGGAAAAUGUAAAAAAUGUGUUCUAUCAUCAAAUAUUAUUUUUCAUUAUGUAUUUCAACACAUAAUUAAGUUAGCUAUUGUUUCACUUGUAUUGAAAACCUAGAAUCUGAAACCAGCGACUUGUAUACAGAGUUAUUUCUCAGGCUUUUGUGUCUUCGGUGAUCCCGGCUUUUAAGUCAUUCACUUUCAAUUUCUGUAAAGCUGUUCACAAAAGCUUUACUGGGAGUUUGUUUGUUGCUAAGCUUCAUCCAUGUUACGGUGCAUUAUUAAAGUUCAUUUAUUUUGCCUACUAUAGAACAUGCCAACGUGAGAAUGACACACGGUUUAUUCAUCUAGUUUGCCACAGGGGGUGUUCAAAUUAUUUCCAGGUGUCUGAUGUUAUGAUAUUCUCAUGCAGGUCUCUGGUGGUACCAUGUUUUAAGAGUUUCUCUUGGGUGCAUAUCUCAGCGUAGAAUUCUGGGAUAUAGAGCAUAUAUAUGCUCAACUUUAGAAGGAAAUAGGCAACAGCAACUUUCUUCAUAGCUUCUUUCACCAAGUUAAACCUCCACUUUUUCAAGACUAAUCAAGUCACUACUAAUUAAACCUAUUAUUCUUUUCACUGUUAGGCACUUUGCUUAACCCAAUAAUCUCAGAAUUGUUAGGGAACACAAAAAUACUGUAACAUCUGUGACAAUGCAGUUUUCCUAAUAAAAUAUUUUUAUUUUUUCAUGUGCUUUAAACUGUUUGUUUUGUCAAAGCAGAGAGUUUCCUGACUUAGAUGUUGUUAGGGACUUGUCUGAAAUUGUGACUUCAGAAUUAAUUCCUGUUCUCACUAGUAUCCCGGUUAGUCAAAUCAGACACUUUGUAUGAGAAAAAGUUUCACUUCAUUUUUUUCAAAUCAAAAGCACUUGUUAAUAUGCACUUGAGGAAUAUAAAAAACAAAAAUGCCUUCUAGAACAUAUGUAGUAAAAUAAAUUAUUAAAAUUAGUUCAAUAAAAUUAAAAUGAUGUGAACUUAAAAUAAUUAAUUUUAAGUUGGGUAAAUUUCAUGUAAUACCUCAUUAUUUAAUAUGGAAUAAUUUAAUGAAGCAAAAAGCAAAAAUUAUAGACUAAGAAUAUAAGCACAUGAUAAUAUAUUAAUCUUUCAGAAAAUAUCUUCAUGCAUGUGUUCAACUCUGACAUUCAGUUUCUGGAAAAAAUUAAAUAAGAAUACCCCCCUUACUUUAAUUAGACAUAAUGAUUUUAAAAAUUGUAUAUUUACAGGAAGGAAUGGGACAUGCUACUAUAAAAUAAUUAAUCCAACAUUUACCAUUAAAAUUUCAUUUGUUGAUAGGAAGUAGAAUAUAUUUC
rnacentral:lncRNA from 1 species